rnacentral:tRNA from 1 species
GCACCCGUAGCUCAAUUGGAUAGAGCGUCGGCCUCCGGAGCCGAAGGCUCCGAGUUCAAGUCUCGGCGGGUGCA